rnacentral:tRNA from 1 species
AGUUCAGCGGCGCUAAGAUCAUCAUUUCCGCAGGUCACCGCCUUGCCCGGAGAAAACAUGUAGAGCGGGGGUCGUCGGUUCGAGCCCGACAGGGGGCUCCA